AGAAUAUCCUUGUUUUAUAAUUAGAAAUCCGAAAUUUGGUAUAUCUAAAUACAUUUUUCUCUAUAUGGAUAUUCUCCUUUAAAGAGAUAUUCACCCUUAAUAUCAAACUUUAUUCUAUAUAUUCGUCCACUAGGGACAGUGUACCAAAAGAUCCAAAUCAAUCCAAAAUUGAUACCAAAUCAAUACCAAAAUGCUAUAAAAUAAUACAAAUUCAUGAAACUCAAAGAUUACACGGUGUCC